CUCCUUUUCUCCUGUCGUUGAUCUACUGCUCCGCUCCCUAUCGUUGAUCUGCUGCUCCGCUCCUGCCGGAGCUCCUUCACGCAUUCUCGAUGCUCGCAUUACACGCUGCUACGAGCCGUGCCGCCCGAGCUCCACAUGGCCGCCGACCGCCAUGAGCGGCGCAGCCCAAGCUCCCCACCCCACUGACCACCGCGGGCAACGCUGCUCGAGCUUCAGACCGCCGCCUAAUGCG
rnacentral:lncRNA from 1 species